rnacentral:rRNA from 1 species
GACGUAGGGCGCGAGCGUUGUCCGGAUUUAUUGGGCGUAAAGAGCUCGUAGGCGGCUUGUCGCGUCGACUGUGAAAUCCCGCGGCUCAACCGCGGGUCUGCAGUCGAUACGGGCAGGCUAGAGUUCGGUAGGGGAGACUGGAAUUCCUGGUGUAGCGGUGAAAUGCGCAGAUAUCGGGAGGAACACCAGUGGCGAAGGCGACUACCUGGCCUGUUCUUGACGCUGAGGCGCGAAAGCUAGGGGAGCAAACGGG